GACGAACGCUGGCGGCGUGCUUAACACAUGCGAGUCGAACGGAAAGGCCCUGCUUUUGUGGGGUGCUCGAGUGGCGAACGGGUGAGUAACACGUGAGUAUCCUGCCCUUGACUUUGGGAUAACUUCAGGAAACUGGGGCUAAUACCGGAUAGGAGCUCCUGCUGCAUGGUGGGGGUUGGAAAGUUUCGGCGGUUGGGGAUGGACUCGCGGCUUAUCAGCUUGUUGGUGGGGUAGUGGCUUACCAAGGCUUUGACGGGUAGCCGGCCUGAGAGGGUGACCGGCCACAUUGGGACUGAGAUACGGCCCAGACUCCUACGGAGGCAGCAGUGGGGAAUAUUGCACAAUGGGCGGAAGCCUGAUGCAGCAACGCCGCGUGCGGGAUGACGGCCUUCGGGUUGUAAACCGCUUUCGCCUGUGACGAAGCGUGAGUGACGGUAAUGGGUAAAGAAGCACCGGCUAACUACGUG
rnacentral:rRNA from 1 species